rnacentral:rRNA from 1 species
UAAAGAUUUACUUAUUUUUAUGGAUUAGAAAAAUUUUUUAGAUAAAUUGAAAUAUUAAUUAAAAUAAUUUUUUAUGAUAUAGUAUUAAUUUAAGAAAUAUUAAAUAAUUUUAUAGAUUAAAAGUACUGUAUAGGAAUGUGAAGAAAAUAAUUUUUUUAAAUAAAAGUAGAUAGUUUAAUUGUACCUUUUGUAUCAGGGUUUAUUAAUUUUUUAUUAAGAAUAAUUAUAAUUCUCGAUUUGAGAAGAGUUAAUAUAUUAAACUAGUUAAUGUAACAUAAUUAUUAGAAAUAAUAUGUUUGUAAUGAAAUGUUAUUCGAUUCUUGAGAUAUCUAGUUUUCUUAGAAAUAAAUUUAAUUUAGUUUUAUGUUGUAUUUCUUAAGUAGUAUAAGUUUAUAUAAUAUAAGAGUAAAAAUUUGGGGGAUAAGCUCUAAAUUUAAAUUAUAAGGUAAUUAAAUAUGAUACAUAAUUGUAGGCUUUAUAUUAGCUAUCAAUAUUAAUUUUGUUAUAAAUUAUAUAAUUUGUGAAAGAUUUUAUAAAGAGUUUAAUUUUUGUAUAAGAAUAUAUAGAUAAAUUAAAAUGCUAUAGAAAUAAUGAUAAAAUUAGUAUAUUUUUUUUUGUAAAAAUAUUUUAAAAUAAAUAGGUAAUUUAUAUUAAGGAAUUCGGCAAAUAUUAUACCCGCCUGUUUAUCAAAAACAUGUCUUUUUGUGAUUAAUUUAAAGUCGGGCCUGCCCACUGAUGUAUUGAAGGGCCGCGGUAUCUUGACCGUGCAAAGGUAGCAUAAUCAUUUGUCUUUUAAUUGAAGGCUAGAAUGAAUGGUUUGACGAGGUAUAAACUGUCUCUAUAUAAAUAUAUAAAAUUUAACUUUUGAGUUAAAAGGCUUAAAUGUAGAUAAAGGACGAGAAGACCCUAUAGAGUUUUAUAUAAUUUAUAGAUAGUUAUAAUUAGUUUUUUAAAUUUUUAUAUAUAAAUUAUAUUGGGUUGGGGUGACUUAAAGAUUCAAAUAACUCUUUAUUAAUUUAAAGUACAUUAAUUUAUGAAUGUAUGAUCCGUUAUUAACGAUUAUAAGAUAAAAUUACCUUAGGGAUAACAGCGUAAUUUUUCUUGAGAGUUCCUAUCGAUAGAAAAGUUUGCGACCUCGAUGUUGGAUUAAGAAAAUGACUUGAUGUAGCCGUUAAGUUAAUAAGUCUGUUCGACUUUUAAAUUCUUACAUGAUCUGAGUUCAGACCGGCGUAAGCCAGGUUGGUUUCUAUCCUUAUUAAUUUAAAAUAUUUUAGUACGAAAGGACCAAAUAUAAUAAAUAAUUUAAUUGAAAUGG